rnacentral:rRNA from 1 species
AUGCACACUUUGAGGAAGAAAACAGGAGAUAUAUGUGCUUCUGUUGCUUCUAAAUUAUAUACAUGUAUUUUUAGUUAUUCAACAUGCUUCAAACUUUUUCUGUUCGAUUUGGUGCAGGAGGAUGCCCGAGCUGACCAGGAGGACACCCUUCUGCACCUUGGCCACCACACAAGGUUAACACAUGGAGAGGCUCGAGCUAUGAGCAGCGAGCUGUUGCUGCUGCCGCCGGAUGCUCCAGCGGCGAAACCUCCGUGGAUUCCCUCCACGGCCACUACCACUACCCUAGCUACUGCCGCUGACGGAACCACCACCAUAUCCUCGCUCGGCCAAGACCAGCUCCUUGAGAUCUUCCUCCGCCUGCCGAGCCUGCCGGCCCUCGUCCGUGCCACGCUCACUUGCCGCUCGUGGCUUGGCGCCGUCCGCUCCUCUUGCUCCUUCCGCAACCUCUUCCGCGCCCUCCACCCGGGCGCCCCUCAUCAGGAUCUUCCUCGAUGUCGACGAAGGCAAUGUCCGCUUGUUCGCCCCCUUCAGCCGCUCAGAUCCCAACGUCAAUAA